UACGUAGGGACCAAGCGUUGUUCGGAUUUACUGGGCGUAAAGGGCGCGUAGGCGGCAAUUCAAGUCAUCUGUGAAAUCUCCGAGCUUAACUCGGAACGGUCAGAUGAUACUGCUUUGCUAGAGUGCAGAAGGGGCAACCGGGAAUUCUUGGUGUAGCGGUGAAAUGCGUAGAUAUCAAGAGGAACACCGGAGGUGAAGACGGGUUGCUGGGCUGACACUGACGCUGAGGCGCGAAAGCUAGGGUAGCAAACGGG
rnacentral:rRNA from 1 species